GUGACGUUAUUCGAAGGAGUGGAAAGCUGGCAGGCAAGUGCGCAUUGAAGGAAGUCGUCGUCGUCUGGAAUGGAGCGCGCUCAAGGACGGGUGUAGUUAGUUGGCUCGCAUUGAAGGGUCGUGAUGUCUUUUAACGAUGAGCAGUGAAGGAAUCUCGCAGACGAGGGUUUAUUGUCGCAGGUCCUGUGAGAGAGAGUGAUUGUACCUCGCGAGUUGUCAUCGUCUCAACGAAGACGGUACCGUAGAACCAUUCAAGAUGAAAAGAGAAAACCAACCACCUUGAAAGGACCCGAUUUGUCAUCGAUUGAUACGUCGGUUAUUUGUAACUUCGAUCAUUUUGUUCCAGAGAGUCAUGUAUAGAUUGUAAUGGAUAGAAACCUUCGUCUUCUUCGACGCCCUCUUUUGGGGUCCGCCUUGGAACCCGCCGAGGUCUCCUCUGACCGGACGGCGAGGACCUCCUUCGUGUCGUCGCUCCGGGGACCGAGGGCCCCCGAGUGCCAGCCGGGGCGCUUCGUCAGAGAGAAUCCCGCCGACGGCAUGUACGUAGCCAACCGGAUCGAGGGAGCAAGAUCUUGAUCCCUGGUAAUUGAUCUAUGACCAUCCCAAGAUGAAGUCCAGCACAUAAACAAGAACCAGAGCGAGCGGAUACAGCAAGAACGCAACAAAGCAAGUCCAAAGUGGGAAUGUGGUGCGGAGGCUCGUGAAGAUGCCCAUCACAACGCAUACUAUGAGAAUGACCAGCACUUCGGCCGAGAAGUCCCAUGUCAAGUGUCUCACGUAAACAAGAGCCAAGAAGACGGCCAAGCAUAGGGUGUUGUUCAUCGUCACCCCACCAUAUAUCUGCAGCACAAAAGAGCAGAGUGAGGAGUAGGUAGGUAGUCCAGAAUAAUUUUUUUUGUCAAAACUGUUGAUUGUAGAAUAAUUGUUUUUGAUAGUCA